CAUGUCUUUUUGAGUAUAAUUUAAAGUCUAAUCUGCCCACUGAGGAUAUUAAAUGGCCGCAGUAUUUUGACUGUGCUAAGGUAGCAUAAUCAAUAGUUUCUUAAUUAGAAGCUGGAAUGAAUGAUUGGAUGAAAUAAAAACUGUCUUAAUAUUAAUAAUUAAAAUUUUAUUUUUAAGUUAAAAAGCUUAAAUAAUUUUAAAAGACGAGAAGACCCUAUAGAGUUUUAUAUUUUAUAUAUAUUUUAAUUUAUAUUUUAAUAUUUAAUUAUAUUUAAAAUAUUUUAUUGGGGUGAUAGAAAAAUUUAAAAAACUUUUUUUUUAUAAAAACAUAAAUUUAUGAAUAAAUGAUCCAUUAAUAAUGAUUAAAAGAUUAAAUUACCUUAGGGAUAACAGCGUAAUUUUUUUAAAGAGUUCAAAUCGAAAAAAAAGAUUGCGACCUCGAUGUUGGAUUAAAGUUAAGUUUUGGUGUAGAAGCUAAAAUUUUAAGUCUGUUCGACUUUUAAAACUUUACAUGAUCUGAGU
rnacentral:rRNA from 1 species